rnacentral:rRNA from 1 species
UGGGGAAUUUUGGACAAUGGGCGAAAGCCUGAUCCAGCAAUGCCGCGUGUGUGAAGAAGGCCUUCGGGUUGUAAAGCACUUUUGUCCGGAAAGAAAUCCUUGGCUCUAAUACAGUCGGGGGAUGACGGUACCGGAAGAAUAAGCACCGGCUAACUACGUGCCAGCAGCCGCGGUAAUACGUAGGGUGCAAGCGUUAAUCGGAAUUACUGGGCGUAAAGCGUGCGCAGGCGGUUUGCUAAGACCGAUGUGAAAUCCCCGGGCUCAACCUGGGAACUGCAUUGGUGACUGGCAGGCUAGAGUAUGGCAGAGGGGGGUAGAAUUCCACGUGUAGCAGUGAAAUGCGUAGAGAUGUGGAGGAAUACCGAUGGCGAAGGCAGCCCCCUGGCCAAGUACUGACGCUCAUGCACGAAAGCGUGGGGAGCAAACAGGAUUAGAUACCCUGGUAGUCCACGCCCCUAAACGAUGUCAACUAGUUGUUGGGGAUUUCAUUUCCUUAGUAACGUAGCUAACGCGUG